CCUACGGGGGACUGCAGUGGGGAAUAUUGCGCAAUGGGCGAAAGCCUGACGCAGCGACGCCGCGUGAGGGAUGAAGGUCUUCGGAUCGUAAACCUCUGUCAGCAGGGAAGAACGGUCACUGUGCUAAUCAGCAGUGAAUUGACGGUACCUGCAAAGGAAGCACCGGCUAACUCCGUGCCAGCAGCCGCGGUAAUACGGAGGGUGCGAGCGUUAAUCGGAAUUACUGGGCGUAAAGCGCUCGUAGGCGGUAUGUCAAGUCAAGGGUGAAAUCCCCGGGCUCAACGUGGGAACUGCCUUUGAAACUGGCAAACUGGAGUGUGAGAGAGGAUAGUGGAAUUCCAGGUGGAGGAGUGAAAUGCGUAGAUAUCUGGAGGAACAUCAGUGGCGAAGGCGACUAACUGGCACAUAACUGACGCUGAGGAGCGAAAGCGUGGGUAGCAAACAGGAUUAGAUACCCGGGUAGUC
rnacentral:rRNA from 1 species